UACCACAAAAGACAAUGUUUCAUUGCAUUUAUUAACCAUAACUUCUAUAAAAUUUAAUUGCUGCAUUCCUUACACAUUCCAUACACGAGGUCGUGUACAGUGUACAUUGUACACAGUGUGCACUGUACACUGUUAAAUAUAAGUCAGGACAACCCAGAAUUUCAAAUCCCUAACUCUUUUAUUUCAAGACUCUAUGUAUCUUUCUAUUGUCACAUGAUAGACUUGUGCGAUAGAAGGCUUGGAACUACUGUUAGAGCUAGCGCUCUGGAUGAUGAUGUUCAUGUGAUAAACAACCUUAUCAGUACUGACCCCCACAAACGAGAUACAGGGUACAAGCCGGCCCUGUAUAUUGGUGGUAUCAUAGCAGUUGAUGUUAUAUUCCCCUUCCCUGUUACCUUGUAUACAGUUCAGUUCACUACAGCCACUUCGAAACCCACCCAGGCUCAAGUGUGGGUAUCUCAGAACAUCCCUGCUGUAACAAAGACCACCAGACCCUUCCCCAUGUCCCUUAUCUCCACCUGUCCGCUCAGCCCAACCUCCUCUACCAUCAUCCUAUCCUCCUCCUCCACCCUCUCUUCUCAUCACCUCCCCAGAGACACUCCCAUCCUCCCUUUAUCUGAGUCACGUGACACCAGGGCGUGUCAGUGUGUUAGGAUUGUGGUGCAGACCAUGGGACAGGACCGGUGCUUGAGGGGACUCAGAAUAUUUGGGGGUGUAGGCGUUUUGAGCAGGGCUUAUCUUAAUAGAGAAAACAUUACACGGAAAGACAUCGAAAAGUUAGUUGAGGAUGUUAAAGAUAAAAUCAAAAAGGAAAAAUCUCAACAAGAAAGGAAAGCUAGAAUAAUCCCACACUGUUCAUUACUUCAAACUAAAUCAGAGACUUCACAUUCCGAGAGCACAACGAGUACAACUUCUGUUCCUGAGGAAUUUCUAGAUGCCAUCACCCGACAUGUCAUGGCAUGUCCAGUAAUAUUACCCAGUGGCAAUGUCGUCGAUUCAAGCACGGUUGACAAGCACACAGCGGCAGGGUUAAAAUGGGGCCGAGAAAGUUCAGACCCAUUCACUGGUAUGCCGUUUAGUGCGGAGUGCCGGCCAAUACAUCACACCACCCUAACAGAAAGGAUAGACAAGUGGCGUGAGGAAUGUGGUGGUGGGGUUGGGACACCACCAGCUGGGGUGGGGUCACCACACUAUGGGCGGUGUGUCGGUGUUGCGGCCUCCUCCUCUGGAGUGUCUCUUUCCGAACAGAUACUCAACAAACAAGCAAAGAGAAUGCGUGUUGACGAAGACAAAUCCUCCCAAACUCGGCGGAAAAGACUAAAAAAGUUCCAGCAACCCUGCAACCCAACAACACCACCUAAUGUAACCAGUAACACAGAAACAACACUUCACUCUCAAACAGAUGCCACCGGUCUCAGUAAAUAUCAGAGAAAUAACAGUAACGAUAAUGAUAAUACUGAAGUAGUUACUGUUAAUUCUAAUAGUAAUAGCACUGUAACACUUGAUUCUAAUGAAGGGAAUAGUGGGUUAUCUAGCGUGGAGCGGACAUUGCAGUUGAUAGCUAGGCAUGAGGAGAGGUUGGAGUUGUUUUAGAGCACCAGGGUCCAGGUCACCAAGUGGUAAAACUUGGUGGUAAAACUUGGUGGUAAAACCAUCGACCAGGUGGUAAAACCAUUGACCAGGUGGUAAAACCAGUGACCAGGUGGUACAUAAGGUGAUCCUGAGUGUGAUGUUUUCUAUGUAACGAUCUAUUUAAAGCAUCUUGUGAACUUUUUACUAUAGCUAGAGAACACGACUUUUGUUCUAUUUCAUUGUAUUUGUAAUUUAUUUCAUUUUCUAUUCUGUUGUGCACAACUGUUGGCCAAUUUGUUGCUAUAAUAUUAUUAAAUUGUUUGGAUAGUUUUAUACAACUUACCCAUCUGUAUAAGCUAAUAAAUCAA